rnacentral:rRNA from 1 species
GACAGAGGGUGCAAACGUUGUUCGGAAUUACUGGGCGUAAAGCGCGUGUAGGCUGCUCGGAAAGUCGGAUGUGAAAGCCCUAGGCUCAACCUAGGAAGUGCAUUCGAAACUUCUGAGCUUGAGUAUCGGAGAGGGUCGCGGAAUUCUCGGUGUAGAGGUGAAAUUCGUAGAUAUCGAGAGGAACACCGGUGGCGAAGGCGGCGACCUGGACGAUUACUGACGCUGAGGCACGAAAGCGUGGGGAGCAAACAGG